CCUACGGGAGGCUGCAGUGGGGAAUAUUGGACAAUGGGGGCAACCCUGAUCCAGCCAUGCCGCGUGUGUGAAGAAGGCCCUCGGGUUGUAAAGCACUUUCAGUGAGGAAGAACGCCUGGUGGUUAAUACCCAUCAGGAAAGACAUCACUCACAGAAGAAGCACCGGCUAACUCCGUGCCAGCAGCCGCGGUAAUACGGAGGGUGCGAGCGUUAAUCGGAAUUACUGGGCGUAAAGCGCGCGUAGGUGGCUUGAUAAGCCGGUUGUGAAAGCCCCGGGCUCAACCUGGGAACGGCAGCCGGAACUGUCAAGCUAGAGUGCAGGAGAGGAAGGUAGAAUUCCCGGUGUAGCGGUGAAAUGCGUAGAGAUCGGGAGGAAUACCAGUGGCGAAGGCGGCCUUCUGGACUGACACUGACACUGAGGUGCGAAAGCGUGGGUAGCAAACAGGAUUAGAUACCCUAGUAGUC
rnacentral:rRNA from 1 species